AGCGAACGCUGGCGGCAUGCUUAACACAUGCAAGUCGCACGGUAUGGUUUUGGCCAUGCAGUGGCAGACGGGUGAGUAACGCGUAGGUAUCUAUCUCUGGGUGGGGGACAACCGUGGGAAACUACGGCUAAUACCGCAUGACACCUGAGGGUCAAAGGCGCCAGGGGGACCUGGAGGUCGCCUGGGGAGGAGCCUGCGUACGAUUAGCUAGUUGGUGGGGUAAAGGCCUACCAAGGCGACGAUCGUUAGCUGGUCUGAGAGGAUGAUCAGCCACACU
rnacentral:rRNA from 1 species